ACUAAAAACUAUAAGCCUUAGUGAUUGAAAAAAAGAUAAAUUCAUGAUUAAAUUCUGAGUAUAGCUUAUCUUACUGAGCAUGAAUUAUAUCCUUAGAUCACAACUCAUCUUUAUAUAGUCAUAAAUUAUUCAAAAAUCUAUCUUAUGAAAUAAUGAAAACUACUACUUGAACACAUGAAUAAAAUCACAUAAACUAUUCAUGUUUGCUAAAUAUUCAAUAUUAUUUAAAAAAAAAAAUCUGAGAAUGUUCAAAUAGUUGAUUGCAUAAUAAAAAAAAUACACAA
rnacentral:lncRNA from 1 species